UGUGCUGCCAAUACUGCACACCAUGGGAGCGUCUCAUUGGGAAUUAGCUUUGCUUUUAAUGUCACAUGACAUCACAUACAUCAGAUCCAGCAGAUUUAAUGACCAUCAGCUAUUUCCGAAAGUCAAACCUAUCCUGUAGGUGAGAGUGUUUGCACCAUAAGAAUAUUUAAAACAAUAUGUUGGGCCUUUAAAAGCAAAUCCCACACUGGGGUUAUUCCUUACGGACAAGAAGGGGACUUAAGACCCUCCUGUAAAAAAGAAUUCCUGAACACAGCAGGAGUCAGGACAUGAUGAGGGAAUACUUAUAUAAGUAAAAAUGCAUGAACGUGUAUAUCCAUACCCCCAUACAUUAGAGUGGUUGGCAUCACCCGUGUGUGUGUGUGU
rnacentral:lncRNA from 1 species